AAUUGGAUAUGGGUAUUGUAGCUGAAACGUCUUGCGAGCUGAGUCAGGGUCGGGGAAGCUGUGAUGGCAAUGAGAAGUCAACACACUGAGGAUGGAGAGAAAGAAGAUGAGUCUGGGAGAGAAAGAGAAUGAUUCUUCUGGCCGAGGGAAAGCAAGAAUAUCUGUUCCUGCAACUGCACUGAUUCUAGAAACACUCUCUAUUCGAACUCUCAUGAGCCAUGAUGUGCUUACUAUGUGGCAGGCACUGCUCUUGGUGCUGUGACAAAAACAGGACAUCUAGAGCCUCUGUCUUCAUGGAUCUCAUAUUCUAUUGGGUGGAGAGACGACCGAUUGAUGAUGUUCAUGGAUGCCUUUGAAAUUUGCCAAUAAUGAAAAAACUGAGGUAUAGGAUGAUACAACUGGGCCAGGCAUGGUGGCUCACAUCUGUAAUACCAGCACUUUGGGAGGCCAAGGGAGGAGGAUCACUUGAACCCAGGUGUUUGAGACCAGCCUGAGAAAAACAGGAAGAACUCAUCUCUACAAAAAAAUUAUCUAGUGCUGACCUGCUUGGUGAAUGCUGGGAUCUCUGGAA
rnacentral:lncRNA from 10 species